rnacentral:misc_RNA from 1 species
GUUAACAGUUAAUAAGAUGGAAAAUUGUUUAAAGUGACCAUUUGGUGAAGACUUUGUUGCCAUCUGAUCAGUCUUCAAAGCUGAUAAGACUCAGAUUUUGAUUAUUCUUUCUCACCCACAAUUUCCUUCCAUUCAACGCAGGCAUGCGUUGCUUAAUGAAAUGAUGUUGGCAGGUCACCCAAUUGCGAGCAAGAAGCAUAACUUUUGGCAAUGUUACAACAACUGAAUUCGGACAUGUUAUUGCAUUGUCUUGUACGCUGUAAUAUGUUUUGGCAUUAUAUAAAAUCUAAGUUAUGGCCUCAUUGAUAGUACCAUCCCUUGGAGAUCUCUUAGUUCUCUAAAAUGCAAAUCAACUGAUAGUAAUACUCUUGUCCAUUUUUUUGCAUUUGGAUGUCUUUUAUGUGAGUCAUCUUCUUAGCUCGAAUUUAUAAGCGCAAACUUUUAAGUUAGGUAGCUU